GUACGGACAAGCAGUGGGAGCACCCUUGGGGGUGUGACUGCGUACCUUUUGUAUAAUGGGUCAGCGACUUAUAUUCUGUAGCAAGGUUAACCGAAUAGGGGAGCCGGAGGGAAACCGAGUCUUAAUUGGGCGUUAAGUUGCAGGGUAUAGACCCGAAACCCGGUGAUCUAGCCAUGGGCAGGUUGAAGGUUGGGUAACACUAACUGGAGGACCGAACCGACUAAUGUUGAAAAAUUAGCGGAUGACCUGUGGCUGGGGGUGAAAGGCCAAUCAAACCGGGAGAUAGCUGGUUCUCCCCGAAAGCUAUUUAGGUAGCGCCUCGUGAAUUCAUCUCCGGGGGUAGAGCACUGUUUCGGCUAGGGGGCCAUCCCGGCUUACCAACCCGAUGCAAACUGCGAAUACCGGAGAAUGUUAUCACGGGAGACACACGGCGGGUGCUAACGUCCGUCGUGAAGAGGGAAACAACCCAGACCGCCAGCUAAGGUCCCAAAGUCAUGGUUAAGUGGGAAACGAUGUGGGAAGGCCCAGACAGCCAGGAUGUUGGCUUAGAAGCAGCCAUCAUUUAAAGAAAGCGUAAUAGCUCACUGGUCGAGUCGGCCUGCGCGGAAGAUGUAACGGGGCUAAACCAUGCACCGAAGCUGCGGCAGCGACGCUGAUGCGUUGUUGGGUAGGGGAGCGUUCUGUAAGCCUGCGAAGGUGGCCUGUGAGGGUUGCUGGAGGUAUCAGAAGUGCGAAUGCUGACAUAAGUAACGAUAAAGCGGGUGAAAAGCCCGCUCGCCGGAAGACCAAGGGUUCCUGUCCAACGUUAAUCGGGGCAGGGUGAGUCGACCCCUAAGGCGAGGCCGAAAGGCGUAGUCGAUGGGAAACGGGUUAAUAUUCCCGUACUUGGUGUUACUGCGAAGGGGGGACGGAGAAGGCUAUGUUGGCCGGGCGACGGUUGUCCCGGUUUAAGCGUGUAGGUGUGUGUUCCAGGUAAAUCCGGUUCACUUUAACACUGAGGCGUGAUGACGAGGCACUACGGUGCUGAAGCAACAAAUGCCCUGCUUCCAGGAAAAGCCUCUAAGCAUCAGGUAACAUCAAAUCGUACCCCAAACCGACACAGGUGGUCAGGUAGAGAAUACCAAGGCGCUUGAGAGAACUCGGGUGAAGGAACUAGGCAAAAUGGUGCCGUAACUUCGGGAGAAGGCACGCUGACACGUAGGUGAAGUGAUUUACUCAUGGAGCUGAAGUCAGUCGAAGAUACCAGCUGGCUGCAACUGUUUAUUAAAAACACAGCACUGUGCAAACACGAAAGUGGACGUAUACGGUGUGACGCCUGCCCGGUGCCGGAAGGUUAAUUGAUGGGGUCAGCGCAAGCGAAGCUCCUGAUCGAAGCCCCGGUAAACGGCGGCCGUAACUAUAACGGUCCUAAGGUAGCGAAAUUCCUUGUCGGGUAAGUUCCGACCUGCACGAAUGGCGUAAUGAUGGCCAGGCUGUCUCCACCCGAGACUCAGUGAAAUUGAACUCGCUGUGAAGAUGCAGUGUACCCGCGGCAAGACGGAAAGACCCCGUGAACCUUUACUAUAGCUUGACACUGAACAUUGAGCCUUGAUGUGUAGGAUAGGUGGGAGGCUUUGAAGUGUGGACGCCAGUCUGCAUGGAGCCGGCCUUGAAAUACCACCCUUUAAUGUUUGAUGUUCUAACGUGGACCCGUGAUCCGGGUUGCGGACAGUGUCUGGUGGGUAGUUUGACUGGGGCGGUCUCCUCCUAAAGAGUAACGGAGGAGCACGAAGGUUGGCUAAUCCUGGUCGGACAUCAGGAGGUUAGUGCAAUGGCAUAAGCCAGCUUGACUGCGAGCGUGACGGCGCGAGCAGGUGCGAAAGCAGGUCAUAGUGAUCCGGUGGUUCUGAAUGGAAGGGCCAUCGCUCAACGGAUAAAAGGUACUCCGGGGAUAACAGGCUGAUACCGCCCAAGAGUUCAUAUCGACGGCGGUGUUUGGCACCUCGAUGUCGGCUCAUCACAUCCUGGGGCUGAAGUAGGUCCCAAGGGUAUGGCUGUUCGCCAUUUAAAGUGGUACGCGAGCUGGGUUUAGAACGUCGUGAGACAGUUCGGUCCCUAUCUGCCGUGGGCGCUGGAGAACUGAGGGGGGCUGCUCCUAGUACGAGAGGACCGGAGUGGACGCAUCACUGGUGUUCGGGUUGUCAUGCCAAUGGCACUGCCCGGUAGCUAAAUGCGGAAGAGAUAAGUGCUGAAAGCAUCUAAGCACGAAACUUGCCCCGAGAUGAGUUCUCCCUGAGACUUAGAGUCUCCUGAAGGAACGUUGAAGACGACGACGUUGAUAGGCCGGGUGUGUAAGCGCAGCGAU
rnacentral:rRNA from 1 species